rnacentral:rRNA from 1 species
UACGUAGGGGGCAAGCGUUGUCCGGAUUUAUUGGGCGUAAAGAGCGUGUAGGCGGCCUGACAGGUCAGCUGUGAAAACUCGAGGCUCAACCUCGAGACGCCGAUGGAAACCAUCUGACUAGAGUCCGGAAGAGGAGAGUGGAAUUCCUGGUGUAGCGGUGAAAUGCGCAGAUAUCAGGAAGAACACCCGUGGCUAAGGCGGCUCUCUAGUACGGUACUGACGCUGAGACGCGAAAGCGUGGGGAGCGAACAGG